AUGUUUCCUGUCAACAUCCAAGUGCUUCCUGUGUCAGGACAGAUGUGGUUGGGCGGAGGCAGACCUUUACUGGACCAUCAGGCAGACCGUUACUGGACCAUCAGGCAGACNAUUACUGGACCAUCAGGCAGACCAUUGCUGGACCAUCAGGCAGACCAUUACUUUCUUUCUCUCUCGGAGGACCUGAGCCCUAGGACUAUGCCUCAGGACUACCUGGCAUGAUGACUCCUUGCUGUCCCCAGUCCACCUGGCCGUGCUGCUGCUCCAGUUUCAACUGUUCUGCCUGCGGCUAUGGAACCCUGACCUGUUCACCGGACGUACUACAUGUCCCAGACCUGCUGUUCUCAACUCUCUAGAGACAGCAGGAGCGGUAGAGAUAAUCUUAAUGAUCGGCUAUGAAAAGCCAACUGAGAUUUACUCCUGAGGUGCUGACUUGCUGCACCCUCGACAACUACUGUGAUUAUUAUUAUUUGACCAUGCUGGUCAUUUAUGAACAUUUUAACAUCUUGGCCAUGUUCUGUUAUAAUCUCCAUCCGACACAGCUAGAAGAGGACUGGCCACCCCUCAUAGCUUGGUUCCGCUCUAGGUUUCUUCCUAGGUUUUGGCCUUUCUAGGGAGUUUUUCCUAGCCACCGUGCUUCUACACCUGCAUUGCUUGCUGUUUCGGGUUUUAGGCGGGGUUUCUGUACAGCCCUUUGAGAUAUCAGCUGAUGUAAGAAGGGCUUUGUAAAUACAUUUGAAUUGAUUUGAUUAAUACAGGGCAAUUGUUUUGAACUUUAUUGCCAAGUUUUAACGAUUUGUAAACCCAGGACCAUAAAUGUCCACACAGCUCACUCAAUAUAAAGAGACAAAUCAGUACUGAUAUCCGACAGUAGUACAUUCAACUUAAUACAAUUACCCCAAAAGGCAGAGCAAUAAGUCAUAAAACACAGAACAUGUUAAAAUUGGAGUAUGACGGAAAGUAGGAAUUCUAUUCCAAACCCCAGAGCAGGGAAUAUGUUAUUUCCAAAAUAGUUAUUGUGCAACGUCAGUGAAAAAAACACCAUGAUUUCUGGUAAAGUGAUUAUGAAAGUGCGUAUAUGGGAUAAUGCAUGCCAAGGACUGAUUCUUCAGACAAAUGAUGUCAAGGCUAAAAAUAGAACAGGCUGGGGGAUAAGAAUCUUUAGCCUGGGCUUCAGUCAUCAGCCACCCCCGAGGUGAGAGCAUUACUUAAUGAAGUGAAUGUUCCAAGUGCCGCAUGUAAAAAUGGAAGGUGCUCCUGUUGGUGGCUUUCAAGUGGGUGGCACAGACAUGCCGGCCCCUGGGACACAGGGGCUUCAAGAGACAAUGGCUGGGCUGUGUGAGGUUUGGGGUGGGGCCCUGGGGGCCCUGGGGGCCAAAGUCCCCGUUCUCAGGUCUCCACACCAGUAAAGUGACUUUUUUUGUGACAUCACAAUGAGAAGGCGUUGUUGUGUGUGGAGCUCUUUGAUGAUGGGCUCUCUGUCUAGGGGGUUGUGACCAUGGGCAUUCCAUCCAUCAUUUGUCACAGUUCCCCUUUAGGGACCCUAUAGGACAGCCUCAGUUAGCCUAUGUGAACAACCAUAUAUCUACAUAUAUACAGUUGAAGACAGAAGUUUACAUACACCUUAGCCAAAUACAAUUAACCUCCGUUUUUCACAAUUCCUGACAUUUAAGUCUAUUUAAAAUUCCCUGUCUUACGUCAGUUAGGAUCACCACUUUACUUUAAGAAUGUGAAAUGUAGUAGAGAGAAUGAUUUAUUUAAGCUUUUAUUUCUUUCAUCACAUUCCCAGUGGGUCAGAAGUUUACAUACACGCAAUUCGUAUUUGGUAACAUUAACUUUAAAUUGUUUCUGUGGAAGGGUAGCCUUCCACAAGCUUCCCACAAUAAGUUGGGUGAAUUUUGGCCCAUUCUCCCUGACAGAGCUGGUGUAACUGAGUCUGGUUUGUAGGCCUCCUUGUUCGCACACGCUUUAUCAGUUCUGCCCACACAUUUUCUAUAGGAUUGAGGUCAGGGCUUUGUGAUGGCCACUCCAAUACCUUGACUUUGUUGUCCUUAAGCCUCUUUGCACAACUUUGGAAGUAUGCUUGGGGUCAUUGUCCAUUUGGAAGACCCAUUUGCGACCAAGUUUUAACUUCCUGACUGAUGUCUUGAGAUGUUGCUUUAAUAUAUC
rnacentral:lncRNA from 13 species